UCAAAUUAUUUAGGACAUAUGGGGCAUCCAGACACUUUAUUAUUUUUUAUUUAUUCAAAUGAUAGUCUUAAAGGAUCCUUUUGAAUUUGGAAGCAUUCAUAUUCUCCAAACAUAAGUGAGCAAUUGUAGACACUCCCAGACCUGCCUAUUUUAAAUAAAAUUUUGUGGGUCUAUCUAGAAGGAGGCUUAGUUUCUGGAGAGGUUUACGAAAUAUCAGUAUCCCUGUAGUGUUUCCAACCUGAGUUCCAGUCCAACAACAACUACUACAGUGCACUCAUAAUGAUAAAAUAUUUAAAAAACUCAACUGUAUUUUUUUCUUUGAAAGGGCAUUCUCAGACGACACCCACCUCCAGAAACAAGCAGCCAGAAAAAAAGAAAAAGAAGAGGUGCCAAUUGUCUCUUCUCCUUCCCAUUUCCCAAGCUUCCAGCCACACUUAGCAUUUCCUCUACAGUGAUCACACUCACACCUCCGAGUGUUACCAAGGCUAUGAUCACUUUGUAAGCCUUCUCGGGGAAGUCCUCUUAUAAUUCCUCCCGCCCCCUGAAAGCUAACUCAAUCUGUGCAUCUAGAGGGAUUUAACAAGUCAAUGGUCUGAAGUGAUUUUAACUCCUUUAUUUCUUUUUUCCUGGUGAUAGUCUUUCUGAAGGAGGAACAAAUUUCCCUGGUGAUAAAAUUCCCACAAAAGCUUUUUAGUUUUAGCUUAUGAUGACUCUCUGUUGAUUACUCCGAGGAUGAAAAGACCACUUCCCGGAGAUAACUGAAUACCUGCACUAGCUCUCCACAUAACCCUACAACAGCGUGUGUGUGGCUGUCAGAGGAAUGGAAUUGGUAAGAGCAAAGAUAGUAAGCAAGGUAGGUCACCAACUGGAUUACAGAGAAUGAUGUGUGUGUGUGUGUGUGUGUGUGUGUGUGUGUGUGUGUACACGUAGAAUUCUCUAAGGAAUGACAGCAUGAAUAUUUUAUACAAAAAUAUCUUUUCUAAAUUUUUGGAAAUCUAUCUUUGAUAAUUUUUUAAAAAGCACAUGAAAGUUGGAUAAUUGCAGGUCCAUCUUGGGCUGCAUGUACACAUUUCAAACAUGUUUGGAGGCCAUUUAAAAAUUCAGGGAUAAAGCCCAAUGAAAAUAUUUACAAACUAAUAUGAAAAUCUACCCAUGACAGCACUCAAUGAAUGGAAACUUCUGAGAGUGGCUUUGUAGUACUAAAAAAGACAUCAUUUUAGGGGAAGUUAAGAGUUGUGCUAUUUAUUCCAUCAAUAUAGAAACACUAAGCCAUUAUUAAACUAUGUGCUUGUAAAAAGAUAGAAGGGGUUGAAGUUCAAGUAAAUACAGAAGCACCCAUUUACGAAUGACUUGCAAUGGGAAAACCAGUCCAUUUAGCACUGUUAUUUAAGAGAUAAACAUAGCUUUGCAAGGGGGCAGGCUCUUUCCUCUACCCCAACAUUACCCCUAUCAAAAGUUCCCCUAUGUAUGGGCUGUGAACUCCUCUCCACUUUUCAAAUUCCCAUUUUCCUAUGCCAGAGACACCUACACAAAGUAGGGAGUAAAGUGUUUUUCCACAUGAACCGCUUGCCAGUUUUCAGGGAAUGAUUUCUCUAUUCUUUUGCAUUGCAGGCUUACAUAUUCUAGCCAGCCAGUUCCUUUUGGGGUGAAUUCAGUUUCCUAAUCCAUAAAAGUAAUUCAGUAUAAGAGUGAAAGGUAAAGGGUCACAGUGCGUCACUAGGAAAAACUGGCUUGGUUCAGUCUCACUCGGUGCUUUGAUGGCAGUGACCUCUGGAGCUACUUUGGACACUGGUAGGAAUACUUCUGGUGGACCGGAAGAGGCUGUUGGCAUCAGGUGGGAGGUCGGGGAUGGGUGGACCUCCCAUUAUUUUCAGGGAAGAACAGUGUGUUGAAUUGUUCUGCAGCCCACAUGGUUUUCAAGUGUUCCACAGCUAUUCAUGUAGUUGAAAAGCCUAUUUAUAAUUAUAUGGGCUUAUAAUUUGAAUCUGUUCUGCAAAUAAAGUACUUUUUGUACAGUUUUCAUAUAUACUGAAUUUUCUUUUUUUCUUUUUGGUACCAGGGAUUGAACUUGGGACCUUGUGCUUGCGAGGCAGGUGGCAGAACCACUGAGCUAAAUCCCUGGCCCUAUACUGAAUUUUCUAGGAGCGCAACCACCUUAUACAUUGCAGCACCUUGAGCACGUCUCGAAUGUGGGAAGAUGAGCAUUUGCUCUCAGCUGACUAUGGACAGCAAUCUCUGAAAAGCUAUGAAGCAAAACUAUUGGAGAAAAGAACCUCAAGCACAGCAAGCUUGUAGACUCGGACACAGGAGGCGACACCAGCACCAUUUUCACUUAUCUAUAACUUGUACCUCUUUCUGACACGAGAGAACGAACAGAAGGAUGAGGGGCAGCACACCAGUCUUGGUGAAACAUGUUCGCCUGGAUACGACACGUUUCUUACUGUUA